CCUACGGGUGGCUGCAGUGAGGAAUAUUGGUCAAUGCACGCAAGUCUGAACCAGCCAUGCCGCGUGCAGGAUGACGGCUCUAUGAGUUGUAAACUGCUUUUGUACGAGGGUAAACCCCGAUACGUGUAUCGGUUUGAAAUUAUCGUACGAAUAAGGACCGGCUAACCCCGUUCCAUCAGCCGCGGUAAUACGGUGGAUCCGAGCGUUAUCCGGAUUUAUUGGGUUUAAAGGGUGCGUAGGCGGUUUGAUAAGUUAGAGGUGAAAUGUCAGGGCUCAACCCCGAAACUGCCUCUAAUACGGUUGGACUAGAGAAUAGUUGCGGUAGGCAGAAUGUAUGGUGUAGCGGUGAAAUGCUUAGAGAUCAUACAGAACACCGAUUGCGAAGGCAGCUUACCAAACUAUAUCUGACGUUGAGGCACGAAAGCGUGGGUAGCAAACAGGAUUAGAUACCCUUGUAGUC
rnacentral:rRNA from 1 species